rnacentral:misc_RNA from 1 species
UAUCAAAAUGAACAUGAAUUCUGUGAUUACACAAAGAAAGGCAUGAUUACAUUACAAGGAAAAAUUGGCAAAAGGGAAAAACAAAACUAAAAUAAACAUGGACCUAAAUCUAAAUUCUAAUUGGCCGACAAUAGUUACAGUAAUUAAGCCUCUAUAUUAAAAAAGACCUGACAAUUAGAAAUUAAUUAAUUAGCUAAAUAAAGAUCAUGGUACAGGAUAAGACUUGUUUUUACACAUGCACUUAUAAGCCAUGGGACAAGUCUCAGCUUCUUCAAGCGAUGCACAGACAAAGCUCACCAUUACUAGCCUACAUGGCGAGCAUGACCCACAUGCAUGGGAACAAUCAGGCAAGCUUGACCCUGCAAUUUGCACUGUGUCAGGUCCUCUUCUCUUUGUUGCCCUCAUUUCCCUGUAGAAAUUUGGAUUUGUCACUGCCACUUCUUUUGGUGCAGAAUGGUGAUGCCCAUGGUCUGUUCAAGUACAUUAUUUAAAAGAACAAAAAUUUCAUCAGAAUUCAGCUAAAGUAACCAAAAUUUCCAUUAAAAAACAAAAAGUUAGAAACCCAAGCUCAAUCUUAAAAUCCAGACGUUCAUGAAACUAGAAAUUCAUAUAAGAAUUUCUUGUAUAAAAUGGAAAGAGAGAGAGAGUAUUACGUGUUCUUGGCCUGCCAAUGUGCCUCGCAGAUAUUACAGCCGGAAGAGAAAGAAGAGCAAUGACUAAUAGAGCAACACAAACAAAACCCUUCAUGGCUUUUGAUGAAAUAUGUAUGCUUUUGCUAAGUGUUUUUCUACCUCUGUGUGUGUGUGUAUGUAUAUAUAGCACAGUGCUAUGAAAUACUUUGUGUUCUGUCUAAGCAGGUCAAAAUGCAAAUUUAUAAUUUUCUUUCCCCUUUUCAAUUUGAUUUCAUUAUGCAGUACUCACUAUUUGGUUCUAUAU